GUAGGUGGCAGGCGUUGUCCGGAUUUAUUGGGCGUAAAGCGAACGCAGGCGGGAGAAUAAGUCAGCUGUGAAAGCCCUCAGCUUAACUGGGGAACUGCAGCUGAAACUAUUUUUCUCGAGUGCAGAAGAGGAGAGUGGAACUCCAUGUGUAGCGGUGGAAUGCGUAGAUAUAUGGAAGAACACCAGUGGCGAAGGCGGCUCUCUGGUCUGUAACUGACGCUGAGGUUCGAAAGCAUGGGUAGCGAACAGGAUUAGAUACCCUGGUAGUCCAUGCCGUAAACGAUGAGUGCUAAGUGUUGGGAGGUUUCCGCCUCUCAGUGCUGCAGCUAACGCAUUAAGCACUCCGCCUGGGGAGUACGACCGCAAGGUUA
rnacentral:rRNA from 1 species